GCAGGUGUGGCGGAAUUGGUAGACGCACUGGAUUUAGGUUCCAGCGCCGCAAGGCGUGGAGGUUCGAGUCCUCUCACCCGCACCA
rnacentral:tRNA from 1 species